CGGAGUGGACGCAUCACUGGUGUUCGGGUUGUCAUGCCAAUGGCAUUGCCCGGUAGCUAAAUGCGGAAGAGAUAAGUGCUGAAAGCAUCUAAGCACGAAACUUGCCCCGAGAUGAGUUCUCCCUGACUCCUUGAGAGUCCUGAAGGAACGUUGAAGACGACGACGUUGAUAGGCCGGGUGUGUAAGCGCAGCGAUGCGUUGAGCUAACCGGUACUAAUGAACCGUGAGGCUUAACCUUACAACGCCGAAG
rnacentral:rRNA from 3 species